rnacentral:rRNA from 1 species
UGCCUUACACAUGCAAGUCGAGCGGCAGCGCGGGGGCAACCCUGGCGGCGAGCGGCGGACGGGUGAGUAAUGCAUCGGAACGUGUCCCUUCGUGGGGGAUAACCAGUCGAAAGAUUGGCUAAUACCGCAUGAGAUCGUAAGAUGAAAGCGAGGGACCCGAGGGUAACUGAGGGCCUCGCGCGAUUGGAGCGGCCGAUGUCGGAUUAGCUAGUUGGCGGGGUAAGAGCCCACCAAGGCGACGAUCCGUAGCUGGUUUGAGAGAACGACCAGCCACACUGGGACUGAGACACGGCCCAGACUCCUACGGGAGGCAGCAGUGGGGAAUUUUGGACAAUGGGCGCAAGCCUGAUCCAGCCAUGCCGCGUGUGUGAAGAAGGCCUUCGGGUUGUAAAGCAC